rnacentral:rRNA from 1 species
UACGAAGGGGGCUAGCGUUGUUCGGAAUUACUGGGCGUAAAGCGCGCGUAGGCGGUGAUCUUUGUCAGAGGUGAAAGCCCGGGGCUCAACUCCGGAAUUGCCUUUGAAACGGGAUCGCUAGAGUCCGAGAGAGGAUGGCGGAAUUCCUAGUGUAGAGGUGAAAUUCGUAGAUAUUAGGAAGAACACCGGUGGCGAAGGCGGCCAUCUGGCUCGGUACUGACGCUCAGGCGCGAAAGCGUGGGGAGCAAACAGGAUUAGAUACCCUGGUAGUCCACGCCGUAAACUAUGAAUGCUAGUUGUUAGGAAGUUUACUUCUUAGUGACGCAGCUAACGCGUUAAGCAUUCCGCCUGGGGAGUACGGUCGCAAGAUUAAA